rnacentral:rRNA from 1 species
UACGGAGGGUGCAAGCGUUAUCCGGAUUCACUGGGUUUAAAGGGUGCGUAGGUGGGCAGGUAAGUCCGUGGUGAAAUCUCCAGCUUAACUUGGAAACUGCCGUGGAUACUAUCUGUCUUGAAUACCGUGGAGGUGAGCGGAAUAUGUCAUGUAGCGGUGAAAUGCUUAGAUAUGACAUAGAACACCAAUUGCGAAGGCAGCUCACUACACGCUUAUUGACACUGAGGCACGAAAGCGUGGGGAUCGAAACAGGA